rnacentral:snoRNA from 1 species
GAGCAAUGAUGAGAAAGUCCACUACUGACCAAAGGAUCCUGAAGCUUUCUACACUUGAGCUCA